rnacentral:rRNA from 1 species
UGGCCGUCGUCAGUUCGUACUGUGAGCAUCCUGUUAAGUCAGGCAACGAGCGAGACCCACGCCAACAGUUGCCAGCAUGUCCUCCGGGAUGAUGGGGACACUGUUGGGACCGCCUCUGCUAAAGAGGAGGAAGGAAUGGGCAACGGUAGGUCAGCAUGCCCCGAAUUAUCCGGGCUACACGCGGGCUACAAUGGUCAGGACAAUGGGUAUCGACACCGAGAGGUGGAGGCAAUCUCCUAAACCUGUCCUUAGUUCGGAUUGUGGGCUGCAACUCGCCCACAUGAAGCUGGAAUCCGUAGUAAUCGCGUUUCAAAAUAGCGCGGUGAAUAUGUCCCUGCUCCGUUGU